AUCACUAGUAAAUUCCCUAUGGCAUGCAACGGGUGAUGGCGGCAGGCAAGGCAAACACAGCCAGCCAGUUAUGACAGUUGAUUAGCUUAACCUACUGCAAAUUUGAAGCUUCAGAGAAGGUGAGAUAGUUCAAUUCAUUUGAUUUCGUUCAAUAAAAAUAUAAUAAAUAAAAGUUAUUGCUUCCUUACUUACCUAGUUUGUUAAUUUUCAACGCCUUAUUUUUGUCUGUCAAUAGAAACUUCAAGUCCAUUCAUCAAAUUGUCAAUUAUAUUAUUAGUCAAUUUAUUACGUGUUUGAUUCGAAUUUGUGUGUGAAAGUUCAAGAAAGGGGUGCAAUAACAUGUUUUAACUGUAGGGGAGGAUUAGUUAUUUUUUAUCUUACAGGCGGAAUAGGGUGUUAUUAUAAUGGGCUGCUCUGGAUCUGAAAGGAGACUCUUCUUAAAAAAAAAAUGAAAGAGACAAAAGAAAAUUGCAAAGACAUGUCAUCAAUUUCUAAGUCUUAACAAGGAGGUCUCCUUCUCCUUCUCGUAUGGCCUUUUAUUUUAUUUUAUUUUUUUUUUGAGUUAGAUAGGAAGUCUCUGUCUUGUCUUAAACUUGAUGUUCUGUAAGAUGUUCCAUUGGUCCGAAUUAUUGCACUAUCUUUUCAUCAGGUACUGUAUUUUAUAUAAAUAUAUUCUCAUGUCACAUAAAAUUCGAUGCAAAGUUUAUUGGGAUUUAAUGACAUCAAUAAAUCAUCAAUAAAUCCUCCUUUGUUUAUCUAUUCUUUUAGACUUUCUUGUACAACCUUAUUUCUCUUUUCCUUAUGGGGAAUGCUAUUCGAACGUCUAUCCAUUUUACCAUUUAAAGUGAAAAGCGCUUGUACAAAAGACAAUAAUACUAGGGAGAUCUUAGUAGUAGUAUUUGAGUUUUAAUCCAAAUUUUAUUAUCAUGUAUCAUUUAUUUAUUAGAUAAUAAAUUUCAUAACUUAUACAUUAUUUGACCACCAUCUGAUAAAUCAAUACUCCUAUAAAAAUAGUUAUGGAUGGAACAAUAACAUUCACAUCACUCAUUUUUCAUGUGUUAUCAUAAAAGCAUGUUGUUUGUUCAUUUUGUAAAAAUACCCUUAACCCAUGUUUGGUUGGAAGAAAUGGUAGGAGCGGAAAGGAAAGAAUGGGAGAGAAAAUGAGUGAAAAUGAGUGAAAAAGAAUGUCAAUUUCAUUUUUAUUGUUUGGAUGGUCAAAAAUUAUUACUAGAAAAUAGACCGCGAAGAAUUGAAGAAUUACAGAUGAAUGUACAAAAAGAACUUAAUUGUGUGAAUCGAAAAAUAAACAUUGCUAUUACACGAAUUACAAAUCCUUAUGGACACCCCAAUAUUCUUGCCGAAUUUAUAGCCGGCUGCUGUACGGCCAAGGCGGAUGUACGGUACAGCAGUUAAAAAAUACUAUAAUAUUUUACAAUCUAUUAGAUAAAUUUUAUUAUAUUAAAAAAAGUUUUAGAAUAAAUGAAAACAUAAUAUUAAAAUAAGUAUAAAAAAUUCAAAAUAUUUGGGAUACUAUGUAAAAUAAUUUUAAUAUUAUUAAUGCGUGCAAUAUAUUUUAUUAAAUGUAAAGUAUAUUUAACUCAGAGAUUUAUUUAAAAUCUUUGUAAUAGAUUCAUGAAAGUAUUAAAAUAAUAUAGUGAUAUAAAUUAUUUUUAAAUAUUUUACUUUUAUUAAUUUAUUAAAUAGAUUAAAUUAUUUGUGUUUAUGUAUAUUUACUCAAAUAUUUAAAGUUAAUUAUUUUAAUCAUUAUAUUUAAAAGGUAUUAUUUAACUUUAUUUAUAAAAAAAUUUAGAGAUAUGUAUGACCAUUUUCAUAAAUUUUACGGGUAAUGAUUCCUUUUUCGUAAAUAAAUAAAUUAAUUAAAAAUGGAGAAAGGUUUGGCAGAGUUGUGUUUGGCUUGAGAUUCCUUUUGACAAGCAAUUCUUGACGGGAAAAUGAGUUGGUUGUUUGUCUUUUAUCCCCAAAGAUGUGAGACUGAUUCAAGUUAUUUACGCAUCCUGUCCAUUAUCCAACAACAAUUCUGGUGACGACAGUGAUCUGAUCUACUACCCAUUUUAAUUAGUAAUAAAUUAGGUACAGCUAGCCACCGAUUUAGAAAGGAGAGUUGGCAACAGCAUUGGUUCACUCCUGAAAAAAUAUUAAAAAAAUAAAUCGAGAGUUGCAAUUUGCCAUUUGUUUCGAUGAUUAUUCAAAAGUGGUUGUUUUGGGAUACAUUUGAAUAAAGGAAUGCAGGCCUUGGAGAAAUAAUAAUAAUAAUAAUGAACAACAUAUAUGAGAUCCUCGGUUGGCCUCUCCACAUCGACAUCUAUAGAUGCAGUCUCGGAUCCUCAAGAAGCAACAAUGUUAAAUGCAUAUCACUCACAAUAUCCCGUAAUAACACAAUCUUAUGAGCAAAAUUUGCAAAAACACCAAAACCACACAGGACCUUAGUAAAUGAAAACACCUGCUAUUCAUAUACAAGUAGAAUUUUAGCUUUGUUAUCACGAUGCACCCUACUUGAAAAGAAUCAACUUUGAAUUAUGCAUCUAUGUACUCUUUACAAGGUGGAACAUGAUUCAAAUUUCAAGAACCACGAAAGCUAUAUAAAAAAUAUAUCAAGGCCAACAAAACCAUCGGUGCAGACACCGGUAAUUACAACAAUUCUACUGGUUUGGAACCAGAGUUUCUCACUUCUUCCUUAUGACUGGAAUCAGAGAUUCUCACUUCUUCCUUAUGACUAGAAGGGCGCUCAAUUUCAGUAAAAGCCUGAUAGCCGGUAUAACUUGAGAACUGACCUGAGCCACUAUUACUGCUCAUAGACUUCUCAAUCUCAUCUAUCUCAGCUACAAGAGAAAUUGGUCGUUCUGGGAUUGUGGGAACAGACUGCUCAGUUUCCAACAUUUUCACGACCUGAUCCAUCGUUGGCCUGGCAUAUAACUGUGGAUGGGAACAAAGAACGGCAAUCGUUACAUACUUCUCUAGAACUUCGGGUACACCCAUCUCUGGCAUACCAUCUUCAAUAACAUCCAGAGCUCUCCCCUCCUUCACCAAUGACCAAGCCCAGUCCGUCACAAGAGAAGCUUGGCCAUCAUCAUUCAUAAUGAGUGCCUUCCUGCCACUCAAAAGCUCCAGAAGCACAACACCAAAGCUGUACACAUCACUCCUGUCAGUCAAUUGCCCAUACAAAGCAUACUCAGGAGCAAGAUAUCCCAUUGUCCCAGCCACCCUAGUACUCAAAUGAGUGAGCCCCUCCGGCGUAAACUUUGCAAGCCCAAAAUCCCCCACCUUCGCCUCAAACUUCUCAUCCAAUAAUAUAUUACUAGCUUUAAUAUCCCUGUGAAAAAUUGCCGGCUGUGCACCAAAAUGCAAAUAGGCCAAUCCCCUUGCCGUCCCAAGAGCAAUCGACUGCCUAAGAUGCCAACUAAGCUUCGGCCCAUUGGAAGCAAACAAAUGAUCAUAAACGCUUCCAUUCUUCAUCAAAUCACAGACAAUAAUUCUCUGGUGACCCUCUAACUGAGUAGUGGCAAUACAAUAACCUCUCAAAGCAACAAGAUUGACAUGCCUAACGCUAGCAAUAACCUCCACCUCAUGCUUGAAAGUUGCAUCACCCGCCGCGGAACAAUUCUUGAACCUCUUCAAAGCAACCUCAGAGCCAUCGGGCAAAAGCCCUUUGUAGACAUUACCAUAACCUCCUCUCCCAAUGAUAUUAUCCCUUGAGAAAUUCCGAGUAGCUUUCUUAAUGUCAUCAAAUGUGAACCUGACCAAAUUAGUACUCUCAUGAAUAGACUCCAAUCCCAUUUCAAUUCUAUUAACCUCUUCUCGUUCCCUCUUCUUUCUUCUGUUAGAAACCACACGCUUACGCCAAAAGAUCCAAACCCCACCAGAAAUUAGCAACAACCCAACAACACAAACAACCAAAACCCCGGCAAUUAAGCCCUUGUUCUUCUUCUUACUCUUCUUUGAUGAUUCAGUUACCUCAAAUGAGAACAAACACUUAGCAGUGCCCCUAUCGGUGGGACCAAACUGAUUGACGGCCGCGGCGGCGUAAAUGAAGGGAUAGGCCAGACAAUCAGACAAGUUCCCAACGGAAGGCCCGGUCAAAUAGGCCUGCAAGCGGGCCAAGCUGGUAGUACAAGCAGCACAAGGGGCACUAUUCCCCAAGGACUGGUUACAGUUGGAAACGACGUCGUCGAGAGUGGACUGGGGGAUCAAUCUCUCGAACUGGGAUCUCGUGGAGAUGUUCAUACAGCCUUCAGAGAUCCAAUCGGUUUGGAAGCCGCAGCGGGAGCGUACGUCGAAGUUCGGGGCGACUCUGUCGACAAGGGUUUGGUAAACGCGCCAGCAUGACUCGGAGGCGUUGAGGGGCGGCAGGAAGUUUCCGGAGCGUUUGAGGUAUUGUGAAUCCACGAGACGAAGGCCCUUUUUAACUUCCUGACACUGCGAGGGCAGGUCACUCGGAGUCUUGAACUGGGACAUCAGCUGCUGUAAGAAGUUGAAGUCAAGCGGGCACGAAACGGUGGCGUUUCGUUGUGCCGCGGCCGUUGUUGUGGAGGCCGCCAGGAAAAGAAUGAGAACAAGGCCUCGUAAGAAUGACAUCGGCAUCGACAUCGACAUCUCGGGGACGGGGAGAGAUACCGGGCGGUGUUGGUAGCAGUACAAAGACAACAAUAAGGAAAAGCAUGUGCACGUGCUUGUGCUUGGGGAUUGUGGUGCAAUUUGAGUAAACUAGUGUAAUUUGAGUUGGGAGUUUGACUAAUCACUAGUAAAUUCCCUAUGGCAUGCAACGGGUGAUGGCGGCAGGCAAGGCAAACACAGCCAGCCAGUUAUGACAGUUGAUUAGCUUAACCUACUGCAAAUUUGAAGCUUCAGAGAAGGUGAGAUAGUUCAAUUCAUUUGAUUUCGUUCAAUAAAAAUAUAAUAAAUAAAAGUUAUUGCUUCCUUACUUACCUAGUUUGUUCAUUUUCAACGCCUUAUUUUUGUCUGUCAAUAGAAACUUCAAGUCCAUUCAUCAAAUUGUCAAUUAUAUUAUUAGUCAAUUUAUUACGUGUUUGAUUCGAAUUUGUGUGUGAAAGUUCAAGAAAGGGGUGCAAUAACAUGUUUUAAC
rnacentral:lncRNA from 1 species